rnacentral:rRNA from 1 species
CCUGGCUCAGAUUGAACGCUGGCGGCAUGCCUAACACAUGCAAGUCGAACGGCAGCACGGUCUAGUUACUAGAUGGGUGGCGAGUGGCGGACGGGUGAGUAAUGCGCAGGAAUAUGCCUUAAAGUGGGGGACAACUUGGGGAAACUCAAGCUAAUACCGCGUAAUCUCUUCGGAGAAAAGCUGGGGACCUUCGGGCCUGGCGCUUUAAGAUUAGCCU